UUUUUUAUUGCAUCUAUGCACUUAACGUUUGAACCGUACACCACAUUUUGAACAUUAAGGUAUAUUUGGAAUCCUUGGAUGACACCAAACUCGACGCACCCCAUGACGUAAAUUUCCGCCAUGUUGGAUCUUCCGCCAUUUUGUAUUUCAUCAAAAACACUUAAAAGGCAUCAAAGUUUGUCCGAUUUUGACG